rnacentral:lncRNA from 1 species
CUCAGCAUAGGUUAACUAGCUUGAUACCAUGGUUAGAGGGAGAGGGCGAGGACGGGACGAGGUCGAGGAAGGCCCUCUAAGACGACUAUUUCUACAUUUGGUAGCUCUGUAGCUACUAGAAUACAAAUUCCACUCGAUUCUGACUUGAUUACACCUCCACCAGGGAUUGAGGUUACGGAACAACAUCUGGUAGGAACAACUGCAACAACUAAGGAACUCCAAUUAAGUGAAACCCCCCACCUAUACUAAAAUUGAUAAAUUUGGUGCUUCAACGAGUUCUUAGAGUGUAAAUCCCAAUGGAAUAGGAAUCGAGCUACUGUACACCAAGUCAAUGAAACAGUACUACCAGAUCUAUCACAGGAGGAACUCAAGAAAAGAGAUAAGGGGAAGGCACCUGCUGAUCCAUGGGUUAACCUAUUUGAGAAGAAUAUAUAAACAAC